AGAGGGAAAAGCUCAAAGUUGGAACCUGGCUGUCCUAGAUAGUCCGGAUUGUAAACUAAAGAGCGUGAAUCCAGGCAAGCCGGUUGAUCAAGUCCUUUGGAAUGAGGCGCCACUGAGGGUGAGAGCCCCGUAAAUCGACUGAGCAUUUGUCUUUUGUGUUUCGCGUUCAAAGAGUCAGGUUGUUUGGGAAUGCAGCCUAAAGCUGGUGGUAAAUCCCACCUAAAGCUAAAUACAGGCGAGAGACCGAUAGCGAACAAGUACCGUGAGGGAAAGAUGAAAAGUACUUUGAAAAGAGAGUUAAACAGUAUGUGAAAUUGCCAAGAGGGAAGCAUUUGGAGUUAGACUGACUUGGAGUUAAUCAGCUUGGUCUUUGGACUGGGUGUACUUGACUUCUAUGUCUGCCAAUAGCAGUUAGUCCUGGUGGAAAAAACUGAAGGGAAGGUAGUCCUUCGGGAUGUUUAUAGACCUUUGGAAAAUACACUGGGAUUGACUGAGGAAUGCAGUAGAUGCUAUUAAGGCUUCGUCUAGUAGGUGUUAGGUGAAGGUACUUGGUAUUUUCAGCUUGCUGAUGUGCUAGGUUACUUGAGCUUAAUUGCUUGCUAGAACUGUAAUCUACUUUGGUUAUUGGCUUAAUGACUCUAAAUGGCCG
rnacentral:rRNA from 1 species